rnacentral:lncRNA from 1 species
CAGCUACAUUUGGUUAUCUUAAGUUUUAAUUCAUUUUAUUCCGUUUAGUUCCUUUCUACAUAAGUGCAGAGGAGAACUGCAGUUGUCCGCAUGUAAACUUUUAGCAUUUAUUACCAAUAUGAGUACAUAGCAAUCCGUUACUGUUUCAACACCCAGGGAAGUUUCAUGUCUUUAUUCUCAAACAGUUAUUAUUUUUUUUCUAUCUUUUUUUAUUAAUGCAUCACUUCCUACUGUCCUUAUCUAUUAUUCUAUAUAUUCUGUGUUUCCAUCCAGAUUCUCGUGUAUACAAUGAGGGUCCGGAUUGGGGGUGUUGUUUAUUUCUAUAUUCUUUAAAUUGUCUGUUACUUUUCUCUACAUUUUAUUUUAUCUUACUCAUUAUUAUUUCUUUAUUCUUUAU